UGCUCUGACUUAGGCUUUUAAGGGUCUUCCUGCAAUGAAAAAAAAAAAGCCCUCUUUAAGGAAGUGAUUUAUUUAACUGAAAGCUUCUGGCUCAGGACUAUGUUUUCUCGUUUGUUUUGUUUUUGCCAAAUUGGUUUAAUAACAGCAGUGUCUAGGUACACUUUGUUCUGAAGCAACAAUUAUGUUAAUUUGUAAUGCAGAAUGAAAAACCAUGCUGGGGAAGAAAGGGAUCUUUCUGAUACUUUCUUCUAUUCUCAUUACAGUGUGAAAUUUCCACUUGGAUGGAGUACUUUGGGUUACAUGAUUAAGUUUCUUCAUUUAUUCAAAACGUAUUUGCUAUAGAUGAAUGUUCCCAGCCAGACAAUCGCCAAGAGCCCAACUGUAGAACCAGCCGAAAGGUCCAUCAUCGGAUGAAUGGAUAAACCCGAUGUGCCCCUUCCGUACAAUGGGGUAUUACUCAGCCAUAAAAAGGAAUGAAGUCCUGUUACGCCACGGCGUGGAUGAGCCUUGAAAAUAUCAUGCUAAGUGAAAGGAGCAGAAGGCAAAGGAAAUUUGGAUACACAGAGUGGCCUCAUGGAUGUGAAUGUGGAGGGUCGACCACGUGAGGACACAGGGAGAAGGUGGCCACCUGCCAGCAGAGGAGGGAGGCCUCAGAGGGAACCAGUGGACUUGACCUUGGACUUCCAGUCUCCAGGACUGUGAGAAAAACAUGUGUUUAAGCUCCGGAGUGUGGGGUCUUUGCAAAUAUUGAUAAGACUGCUACAGACAUCUGAGUGCAGGCUUUUGUGUGAACAUAAGUUUUCAAUACCUCUGGGUAAAUACCAAGAAGCAUGAUUGCUGGAUCGUAUGGUAAGAUAGUUUUUGUAAGAUAGUUUUGUAUGAUAUGUUUAGUUUUGUCAGAAAUCGCUAAACUGUCUUCCAGAGUGGCUGGACCAUUUUGCAUUCCCACCAGCAGUGAGUGAGAGCCCUGUUUGCUCCACAGCCUCGCCAGCAUUCGGUGUUGUAAGUGUUUGGGUUUUUGUUUUUGUUUUUGUUUUUGUUUUUUUUUAAGAUGUUAUUUAUUUAUCUGACAGAGAGACAGCGAGAGAGGGAACACAAGCAGGGGGAGUGGGAGAGGGAGAAGCAGGCUUCCCGCCCAGCAGGAAGCCCGAUGUGGGGCUCGAUCCCAGGACCCUGGGAUCAUGACCUGAGCUGAAGGCAGAUGUUUAAUGACUGAGCCAUUCAGGUGCCCCUGGGGUUUUUUUGUUGUUUUUUUUUUGUUUUUUUUAAGAUUUUAUUUAUUUAUUUGAGAGAGAGAGAGCAAAUGAGCGGGGAGAGAGGCAGAGGGAUAGGGAGAAGCUGAAUCCCCACUGAGCAGGGAGCCCAACGUGGGGCUGAGCUGAAGGCAGACGCUUAACCCAAUGAGCCACCCAGGCGUCCCCAGUGUUUGGGUUUUUAAUAGGUGUGUGGUCAUAUCUUGUUUUAAUUUGCAAUUCCCUGAUGACAGAUGAUGUGGUGCAUCUUUUCGUAUGCUUAUUUGCCAUGUGAAUAUGUUUUGGAAUUAGACAGUGGUUGCACAGCCUUGUGAAUAUGCUAAAUGCCACCAAAGUUUACCUUUAAAUGUACUAUACGCCACUGAAGUGUAAUUUUAUGUUAUGUGGAUUUCAUCUCAAUAAUAAAACCAAACCAAAAAAAAAAAAAAAAGAAAAGGUGAAAGAUGAAUCAGCAUAUCUGUGUGCUGAUGGGAAUUAUCUGGUUCAGAGGGAGCACUGUGGGGGUGGCUCCUCGCAUAGGCAAGUGGGUUUGGGAGCGGGUGGCCGCCUGGCUUUGCUUGGGCUCGGGGCGUGUUGCUUACUCACAGCAGUGGAGGGAAGGCUCGGCUGGCAUGUGGGUCUAGAUGCAGGCUGGCAGACUGGUGGGGGUGAUGACUAUGGAUGUGUCUUAUUUUUUAUUUUUUAAGAUUUUUUUUAUUUAUUCAUUUGAGACACAGAGAUAC